rnacentral:rRNA from 1 species
CGAACGCUGGCGGCGUGCUUAACACAUGCAAGUCGAACGGAAAGGCCCUGCUUUUGUGGGGUGCUCGAGUGGCGAACGGGUGAGUAACACGUGAGUAACCUGCCCUUGACUUUGGGAUAACUUCAGUAAACUGGGGCUAAUACCGGAUAGGAGCUCCUGCUGCAUGGUGGGGGUUGGACAGUUUCGGCGGUUGGGGAUGGACUCGCGGCUUAUCAGCUUGUUGGUGGGGUAGUGGCUUACCAAGGCUUUGACGGGUAGCCGGCCUGAGAGGGUGACCGGCCACAUUGGGACUGAGAUACGGCCCAGACUCCUACGGGAGGCAGCAGUGGGGAAUAUUGCACAAUGGGCGGAAGCCUGAUGCAGCAACGCCGCGUGCGGGAUGACGGCCUUCGGGUUGUAAACCGCUUUCGCCUGUGACGGAGCGUGAGUGACGGUAAUGGGUAAAGAAGCACCGGCUAACUACGUG